GACGAACGCUGGCGGCGUGCCUAAUACAUGCAAGUCGAGCGAACAGAUGAGAAGCUUGCUUCUCUGAUAUUAGCGGCGGACGGGUGAGUAACACGUGGGUAACCUACCUAUAAGACUGGGAUAACUCCGGGAAACCGGGGCUAAUACCGGAUAAUAUUUUGAACCGCAUGGUUCAAUAGUGAAAGACGGUUUCGGCUGUCACUUAUAGAUGGACCCGCGCCGUAUUAGCUAGUUGGUAAGGUAACGGCUUACCAAGGCGACGAUACGUAGCCGACCUGAGAGGGUGAUCGGCCACACUGGAACUGAGACACGGUCCAGACUCCUACGGGAGGCAGCAGUAGGGAAUCUUCCGCAAUGGGCGAAAGCCUGACGGAGCAACGCCGCGUGAGUGAUGAAGGUCUUCGGAUCGUAAAACUCUGUUGUUAGGGAAGAACAAAUUUGUUAGUAACUGAACAAGUCUUGACGGUACCUAACCAGAAAGCCACGGCUAACUACGUGCCAGCAGCCGCGGUAA
rnacentral:rRNA from 1 species